rnacentral:rRNA from 1 species
UACAGAGGGUGCAAGCGUUGUUCGGAAUUAUUGGGCGUAAAGGGAGUGUAGGCGGCCAUUUAAGUCUUCUGUGAAAUCUACGGGCUCAGCCUGUAACGUGCAGAGGAAACUGGAAGGCUAGAGUGUCGGAGAGGAUAGUGGAAUUCCCGGUGUAGAGGUGAAAUUCGUAGAGAUCGGGAGGAACACCAGUGGCGAAGGCGACUAUCUGGCUGACAACUGACGCUGAGACUCGAAAGCAUGGGGAGCAAACAGG